GAAUGUAAAUUUGAAUCUGAUAGGAUCAUCCGAUGGCCUAUUGCAAUCAGAUUCACAGCAUGGAUGCAAUAAGGAAUUAAUGGAUAGUAAUUGGUUUCAGAUCAUUCCUCCUGGUCAGGCAUUAAUGUGGGCAUGCAAUCCUUCAUUAAUCCAAAGUCAUGUACAAAACACUAGCUUGUUAGGAGAUGAAAAGUAUUCAGUGAAUGAACCAGAUUUCAGCCAAAACCAUUAAGGAAUUUUAUUCUUGAGAGAGUACAAAUGUUUUUGCACGUCUUUGCUCAAAGCUUUUAGGAUGAUUUAAGUUUCUUCGAAGCUUGCUUGGAAAAAAGUUUGGUGAUCAAAUUUCAGAUAUUGUUAGCAUCCAAGUGCUCUUGGGUUUGUAAACCAGAAAUGUCAAUCCAAACUGAAGCUUUUGAUAGUGAUAUCAGAGCCCUUGAUGCUGGUGAUCAAAUUCUCAAAUCAAGUUACUAGCCUUUUGAUUGCUUCAGAUUUCUGAAGCCAAAGUCUUUGUGCUCUAAAUUCAGUUCUUGGCCAUGUAAUCUUGUCAUGCUUAGAUAGCUAUAUCUAGUGUCCUGCCAGCUUAAUUUUGAUGCGUAAGUAUCAAUUAUUAAAAGUUAGAUUCAUUCUGAUGCUCAAAAUGAGCCGUUUUCUCCUAUUUUGAAAUACCAAUUUCAUAUCAAAUGUCUUGUGCAUGUAGAUUUUGCUGUUUACUUCAAAUUGGACUGGCUUACUUGAUGAGCAGAACUCGAAAAGCAACUCAAAUACUCAUGUUAUACAAUACUCAGCACACGGUUUUUUAGGCUUUAAAACGUCAUUAAUGAAAGUUACCCAUUCGGUUGUUUA